rnacentral:rRNA from 1 species
UGGGGAAUAUUGCACAAUGGGCGCAAGCCUGAUGCAGCCAUGCCGCGUGUGUGAAGAAGGCCUUCGGGUUGUAAAGCACUUUCAGCGAGGAGGAAGGUGGUGAGCUUAAUACGCUCAUCAAUUGACGUUACUCGCAGAAGAAGCACCGGCUAACUCCGUGCCAGCAGCCGCGGUAAUACGGAGGGUGCAAGCGUUAAUCGGAAUUACUGGGCGUAAAGCGCACGCAGGCGGUUUGUUAAGUCAGAUGUGAAAUCCCCGGGCUCAACCUGGGAACUGCAUUUGAAACUGGCAAGCUAGAGUCUCGUAGAGGGGGGUAGAAUUCCAGGUGUAGCGGUGAAAUGCGUAGAGAUCUGGGGAAUACCGGUGGCGAAGGCGGCCCCCUGGACGAAGACUGACGCUCAGGUGCGAAAGCGUGGGGCAGCAAACAGGAUUAGAUACCCUGGUAGUCCAGCGCUGUAAACGAUGUCGAUUUGGAGGUUGUGCCCUUGAGGCGUGGCUUCCGGAGCUAACGCGUUAAAUCGACCGCCUGGGGAGUACGGCCGCAAGGUU